GGAGGGAGAGACGACGUGGUGGUGGAGGAGAGAAGGAUGUGGAGAGGCACGGAGGGAAGUGAGGGAAGAAAGUGAGGUCUUCAGAUCCUGUGACUCUGCUGCCUCCUGCUGGCUGAAGGUGAAUACUGCAGGCUGCUGACAGAUGGCUGGCAUCCUCAACUAUGAUAACAUCAAGAACUGCUGCAACAGCUCAACUUUGAAAGAAAACCGCUGGUAGAUCGCCGCCUCGGGAGCCGUCCAACGCACCGGGAUCUUUGUGCUUCGACUGGCCGUAUACACACUGUCCUGGAGAAAGACAAGACACACACACACACACACCAUCCUAACCUUAAUAAUACGAGCCAAUCCGAAGUCGGCCACCUUGCAGACCAGAUCAUCUCCCACCAGGAUGUUCCUGGCUGCCAGGUCUCUGUGGACGAUGUUUCUGUCCUCCAGUCAGCACUCACAGGCCAGGUAGGACUUGAGGCUUCCUUUGCUCAUGAGUUCGGUCACGAUGUAGACCGGCUCUCCUCUGGAGCACA